rnacentral:lncRNA from 1 species
UUACAGUUUACCUCAUCAGAUUUACUCAUUUGUCUACAUGGUGUUGGUGGCGUAGUUAAAUUUCAGUGAAGAUAAUGAUAUAUAGACAAAAAUAUAUAAUCUCUUAAGUGAAAGACAUAGCAAAGGGAAAAAGUUUCUGUUGGAAACAGUUAAAUAGAAUCUGCAAAGGUAUAGUAUAAUAAUUUCUUUAUGACAGCUUAAGAUAUUCUUUUCAUGAUAAUCUUUCUGCAGUUUAUUUAAGUACCAAUUGUUUUCAUCGUUAAUCUAGCUAGCAUACUUCAGACAGCCCCCACCAUAUAUACUAAUCCAUCAGGUGGUAAAUCAUGCAUUCAUAUGUUCUGGUACUUGCAGGCCCGGCCAAUUCUUCGUGAUAGUAACAGAUUAGAGGAGCUUGCAGACCCUAGGCUUGCAGGUAAGUACCCCAAGGAUGAUUUUGUGCGAGUUUGCACAGUUGCAGCAGCUUGCGUUGCACAUGAGGCGAACCAGAGGCCUACGAUGGGUGAAGUGGUGCAGUCCCUUAAAAUGGUGCAGCGUGUAGCUGAAUGCCAGGAUCCCUUGCCGACCCCAUCAACUAAUCCCCAUAAUAAGCAGUCGUCGACGACUUUUGAAUCAGAUGCCACUUCGUCCAUGUUCUCUUCUGGUCCUUUCUCAGGUCUAAGCCUUUUUGACAAUGACAACAUUUCCAGAACAGCAGUAUUUUCUGAGGAUCUGCAUGAAGGUCGAUGAGGCUUAAGCUCGUGCUUUGUCAUGAGAGGGCUGAGGUAACGGCUGUGGGGGAAAAGGAUUGCAGAUAGUCUAUGUUGUAUAUUUCAGUUGUUGCCACUCUAGGUUUUGGAAUUCAUGUGCAUUAUUAUAUAUGACUAGUCUUGUUUUGUUGGAAAUAUAUUAAAUGUUUUCUUCGUUCUAUGAUUGAUUUCUCACAUUUGUUUACUUAAUGAGUUCUGAA